rnacentral:rRNA from 1 species
GAUUAUAGCCACACUACCCUGGUUGUGCCUGCACUCAUCUGGUCUUGGAAGCUAAGCUGCAAUGAGCCUGUUUAGUACUUGACGAGGGGAUUGCCUGCUAAUGCUAGGUGCAGCCAGCC